CCGGCGCACGGGUGAGUAACGCGUAUGCAACUUGCCUAUCAGAGGGGGAUAACCCGGCGAAAGUCGGACUAAUACCGCAUGAAGCAGGGGCCCCGCAUGGGGAUAUUUGCUAAAGAUUCAUCGCUGAUAGAUAGGCAUGCGUUCCAUUAGGCAGUUGGCGGGGUAACGGCCCACCAAACCGACGAUGGAUAGGGGUUCUGAGAGGAAGGUCCCCCACAUUGGUACUGAGACACGGCCAA
rnacentral:rRNA from 1 species